UACGGAGGGGGCUAGCGUUGUUCGGAAUUACUGGGCGUAAAGCGCGCGUAGGCGGAUCUGCAAGUCGGGGGUGAAAUCCCGAGGUUCAACCUCGGAACUGCCUUCGAUACUGCGGGUCUCGAGUCCGGGAGAGGUGAGUGGAAUUCCGAGUGUAGAGGUGAAAUUCGUAGAUAUUCGGAAGAACACCAGUGGCGAAGGCGGCUCACUGGCCCAUAACUGACGCUGAGGCACGAAAGCGUGGGGAGCAAACAGG
rnacentral:rRNA from 1 species